CCUACGGGAGGCAGCAGUGAGGAAUAUUGGUCAAUGGUCGGGAGACUGAACCAGCCAAGCCGCGUGAGGGAGGAAGGUACAGAGUAUCGUAAACCUCUUUUGUCAGGGAACAAAGACUGGGACGCGUCCCCGGAUGAGUGUACCUGAAGAAAAAGCAUCAGCUAACUCCGUGCCAGCAGCCGCGGUAAUACGGAGGAUGCGAGCGUUAUCCGGAUUUAUUGGGUUUAAAGGGUGCGCAGGCGGAUUUUUAAGUCAGCGGUAAAAUGUCCGGGCUCAACCCGGGCCGGCCGUUGAAACUGGGGAUU
rnacentral:rRNA from 1 species